CAGCCGCCGCGGGAAUACGUAGGUGGCAAGCGUUGUCCGGAUUUAUUGGGCGUAAAGCGAGCGCAGGCGGUUAGAUAAGUCUGAAGUGAAAGGCAGUGGCUCAACCAUUGUAGGCUUUGGAAACUGUUUAACUUGAGUGCAGAAGGGGAGAGUGGAAUUCCAUGUGUAGCGGUGAAAUGCGUAGAUAUUCGGAGGAACACCAGUGGCGAAGGCGGCUCACUGGUCCAUUACUGACGCUGAGGUGCGAAAGCGUGGGGAGCAAACAGGAUUAGAUACCCCAGUAGUCCCUGUCUCUUAUACA
rnacentral:rRNA from 1 species